ensembl:lncRNA
GUUACAUUUAAAUUGAAAUUGAACGGAGGAUUAGAUUACCAGUUCUGGGAGACAGACUGGGGUUGGGAUUAAAGGACACCUACAACCAGACGCAGAGCACCAAUUCACAUCAACAUGCACAUCACACACCACCAUCCAUGGUGGGUAAGAGGGAGCACUUUGUUGCUUUGCCUCCAAAAGUCUCCUAAAUAAAUAUGGUCUGAUUUGAUUUAAAAGAGAGGGUAGAAGCGUUAAAAAGAGAGAGAUAGGGAUGAAAGAAGAGUGCAGGGGACAGAGAGAGUGAUUGAUUUCCACACAGUUCUAAAGCGUUUUCCUCUGGGGCGAUGGAUAAAGGGAAGGAGAGAGAGAAGGAGAAGAAUAGAGGGACCUGGGUAAUAAAGAAAGCAGAUACUUUGCUGGGCUCCUGUUACUGUCACCUCUUUCUUUCCCUCGUUCUUUUCUUCACCUUAACACAGACUCCCUUUAUUUCUAAUGGAGUCCUAAGCAACCUGAGCUCUAACUAAGGGAGUGGGAGAGGUAGAUAUAGAGGGAGAGACAGGUGGAUGGAGGGGGACAGAAGGGUGAAGGAGAGAAGUGGUCAGCGGGAGAGAACUGAGAGGGUGUUAGAUGAAACGCAGAGCAUAAUGUCUUGGGAGCAGACAGCAGAGUUUAGAAGAAGUCAUGCAUUCACAUUAAAAAAGGAAGCGAGAGAGAGAUGGAGAGAGGGAGGGGGAGACGGAGAGAGGGAGAGACGGAGCGAGGGAGUGAGAGACGGAGCCAGAGAGAGUGAGAGACGGAGCCAGAGAGAGUGAGAGACGGAGCCAGAGAGAGAGAGAGAGGGAGAGACGGAGCCAGAGAGAGGGAGAGAGGGAGAGACGGAGCCAGAGAGAGGGAGAGACGGAGCCAGAGAGAGACGGGGAGA